UACGUAGGGGGCAAGCGUUAUCCGGAUUUAUUGGGCGUAAAGAGCGUGUAGGCGGCUUUACAGGUCCGUUGUGAAAACUCGAGGCUCAACCUCGAGACGCCGGUGGAAACCGUAAAGCUAGAGUCCGGAAGAGGAGAGUGGAAUUCCUGGUGUAGCGGUGAAAUGCGCAGAUAUCAGGAGGAACACCCGUGGCGAAAGCGGCUCUCUGGGACGGUACUGACGCUGAGACGCGAAAGCUGGGGGAGCGAACGGG
rnacentral:rRNA from 1 species